UUUUUUUUUUUUUUUUUUUUUUUUGGUGAAUUUCUACGCACAGUAUUAAGUGACAGUUGAGAAUCACUGAACAAUAUUCAAAGUUCUGCUGAAUGUUCUGCUUUGUAAGUGGGUGACGUGAGGGGUACUGGGGGAUAUAUCAAGAUAGCCCAAUCACUUUUUAAAUGGACAAUGCCAAAUUAAAUUUAAAACAACAUCCUACCGUUGGGCCUGUAUUUACUUUUUGGUAGAUUAGAAGGUGAUUAUUUACUUUCGGAAAACAUUUAACGUUGCAUUUAACGUAUGGUUUUGAUUUUCAUGAAAAAUUUUAAGAAUUUAUCCAUUGUAUGAAAAUACAAUGAUUGGCAUAAAAGUUAAAAAAAAAAAAAAAAGAUAAAGGAAGCCUGUCAUUUGCCAAGGACAUAAGGUGAAGAAUAAAUAUGCACUUGAGAUAUACAUACUCCAAGCCUAUAGAAAACACAGGUGUACUGAUGGGAUUCUACUAUUUGUGUAGAAAUCCUAUCCAAGAAGACUUAGGAGCAGAAAUUAAAACAAGACAAUUCUUUACAGACUCUUCCAAAUUCCAGAGUAGAUAAGCCUCCUGCUGAAGCUUAUGACAUCAACAGAAAUAAAAUGAUAAGCUAUGUGCAUAAAUAAUCUACCAUGGGAGAGAGUCAUCAGGCACUAUAAACAAAAUAGUUAGCCCCCUAGGAGCUGGACCUAGUAGAACAAUCUAAAUCUAGUAGAACAGCCUAAAAGAAAUGUUUCAAAUAAUUAAGAAGUUUAAGGAAAUGGGGGGAGGAAGAAAUAUGACUCAUAGUGAGAGGAGAGUAUAGUACAGUAAAAUAAAAGACAGAUUUGAAAAAGAACUGAAUGGAAACACAGUCAAUAAGAUAAUUAAUAGAAAAAUAGAUGUGCUGCUGAGAAAAUUAGUGAAUUGGAAGAUAAAACUGAGAAAACUGUCUAAAAUAUAUCACAGAGAACAGAUGGCAAAUAUAAACAGACAGAAAAUAUGGAGGCUAGGUUGAGAAAAUCCAGCAGAUAUAAAAUCGGGCUGCUAUGCUACUCAGUUGUAAAUGCUACCAUUCACAAGGCAUCCAAUAUAAAUGGUGUUGCUUGUAUUUUUACAACAUGUCAUCCUUUAUUUAAUGGGAAUUCCAGAAAGAAAGAAUCAAGAAUGUAGGAUAAAAGGAUAAUUUUUAAAAAGAUAAUAGGGAAGAAAUUUCCAGAAUUGAAGAAAGAAACAAGUUCUCAGUUCUCUGACAGAAAAAAGUACACAAGAGUACUGGACAGUACAAAUAAAAAUAAAUUCACCCCUAAGCUAUUUGUGAGGAAAUGAAAAACAUCAAAGACAAUGAAAAACAACCAGAAAUAAAAAAGAUUAACUGAAAAGUAAUAAGCAAUCAAAAUAACUGAAAGACUUUUUAUCAGCAAUGGUGCAGGCCAUAAAACAAUGAAAUCAUUACCUUUAAAGUGCUGAGGCAACAGUUCUAUCAUUUAAAAUUUCUAAACAAAGAUGUGUUUUCACUCAACAAUAAAGUACAAUUUUUUCCACACAAUGAAAGCUCACAGUGGACAGAGCAUCAUAACACAUUCUUAAGUAAAAGUCACACAAACAAAAGCAAAAAGUGCUCUUGUUUUAGGAAGGAGGAAAAGUGAAGUACCUAAUUCAAUUUAUAGUAAUAGUAUAUAAAACACUGGAACACUACCCAAGGAAUAAAUAUAAUGGGUUACCUGUGGAGGAAGGGAGGAAUUGAAUGGAUAAGGAUAGGAGAGCAAAACUUCUCACUGAUUAUACCAUUGAUUACCCCUUUAAUAUCUGUUUAAUGGGAAAAUUCCUAAAACAUAAAACCUACCAAGACCAAACCAUGAAGAAAGAGAAAAUCUUAACAGAACUGUAAAUAGAAAGGAGACUGAGUUAGUCACUAAAAACCUUUCAACAAAGAACAGUCCAAGACCAAAUGGUUUCAUCAGUGAGUUCUACCAAACGUUGAAAGAAGAAUUAACACUACUCUUUCUCAAAUUCUUCCAAAAAGUGGUGGAAAAGAAGGAAACGCUUCUUAAUUCAUUCCAUGAGGCCAGCAUUAUUCUGAUACCCAACCAAACCAAACACUAUAAGAAAACUAUGGACAAAUAUUCCUGAUGAAUAUUGAUACAAAAAUCCUCAACAAAAUAUGAGGCAACAGAACUCAAAUCAUAUUGUAAGGAUUUUAUCCUAGGACCAAGUGAGGUUUAUUUCUGGAGUGUAAAGACGACAGCUGCCAUAGGACCCCAUUGGUCCCCAACCACUCCAGGGACCUAGUGGGCUGACACCAGCUCCAGGACACCCUGGACCUCACAGUCAGCCAUGUCAGGAAUUGGCCCUGCACACCAGUAGGCUAACACUAGGCUUCAGGACCCUGGGCCUUGUAGCCAGCUACCCUAGGAACUGGUUCUCUACAUACCAGUGAGCCAGAACUAGCCCCAGGAUUCCCAGUGCUCCACAGCCAGCACCUAAUGACACAGCCCUGCCCACCAGUGGGCUGGUAUCAGAACCAGGACUUCCCAGGCUGUGCCAGGACCUGGCCUCACUCAUCAGAAGCUGGCAGUCUCUGUAUUAGGCAGGCAGUUGCAACAAGACGAGGGGCCAGUCACACCUUCCAGCAUGCCCACAGUAGUCAGUCCACCACAACAAAAGGGGCUAUGCAGCCCACGUAGAGGGUACUCUUAGUUCUGAUGACCAAAGGGGAGUGCACUGCUGGGCCCCAUAAGAUAUUUCCUACAUAAGGCAACUUCUCUAAGAUUGGGAAGUUUAAACAACCUGUCAAAUACAUAGAAAUAAAAACAGAGAAUUAGGCAAAAUGAGGCAACAGAGGGAUAUGUACCAAAUGAAGGAACAAAAUAAAACCCCAGAACUAAGUGAAGGGGAGGUAAGCAAUUUACUCAUAAAGAUGCUCAAAGAACUCAAGACAAGAAUGGAUGAACCCAGUGAGGAGUUUAACAAAAGGAAAAUAGAAAAAAGAACCAAACAGAGCUAAAGCAUAGAGUAACAAAUAAAAUAUACACUAAAAGGAAUAAACAGGAGAUUAUGGAUCAGGAAACAAAAGGACCAGCAAACUGGAAGAUAGAUAGUGAAAAUCACUCAAACCGAAAAGAAAAAAGAAAAAAAGAAUUAAAAAAAAAAAAAGAUUUAAGAGACCUUCGGGAUAACAUCAAGCAUACUAACUUUCACAUUAUAAGGGGUCCAGAAGGAGAAGAAAAUGGCAGAGAAUAUACUUGAAGACAUAACAGCUGAAAACUUCCCUAACCUGGGAAAAGAAAGCAGACACCCAGGUCCAGGAAGCACAGAGAGUCCCAAACAGGAUAAACCCAAAGAGGACCACAAUGAGACACACCAUAAAUAAAAUGACAAAAAUUAAAGAUAAAGAGAGAAUCUUAAAGCAGCAAGGGAAAAGCAACUAGUUAUGGACAAGGGAACUCCCACAAGUCUAUGAGCUGACUAUUCAGCAGAAACUCUGCAGGCCAUAAGGGAGUGGCACAAUAUAUUUAAAGUGAUGAAGGGGAAAAACCUACAACCAAAAAUACUCAACAAGGUUAUCAUUCAGAUCUGAUGAAGAGAUUGAGUAUUACUGACAAGCAAAAACUAAAAAGAGAGUUCAGUACCACAAAAUUAGCUUUGCAAGAAAUGUUAAAGGAAUAUCUCUAGGCAGGAAAUAAAAAGCCACAACUAGAUAUAUAAAAAUCAUACAAGGAAAAAUCUCAUUGGUAAAGGCAAAUAUAUAGUAAGGGUAGGAGAUAAACCACUUAUAAUGAUGGAAGGAAGAUUAAAAGACAAAAGUUGUAAAAUAAUUUAUAGCCAUGAUAAGUAGAUAAGGGACAUAACACAGACAGACUAGGUAAAAUAUGAUGUCAAAAACAUUAAACGUGGGAGUGAGGGGAGUAAAAAUGCAAGGUUGUUAAAAUGUGUUCACACAUCAAAUAUUUUUGAGAAAAUCCUCCAUCCAGCAUAAAUUGCCCUGAUCUUACCAGAUACUUUAGCAUCUUUAAGCUAUUUUCUCAAUUAAAAAAUAUUUUUACCACAAAUAAGUCAACUGAAAAUGUCAAGAAUUUUUAAUUUAUUAGCAUAACUUACAAUUUGAAGAGCUCAGAAUUUUAUGAAAAAACUACACAAAAAUAGAUAUAUACUGAAAAAAAAUUCUUCAGAAAAAUACCAGAGACACAGUUUUAGAGUUAAAAAUGUCCAAGAAUGGGAGUUCCUGUUGAGGCUCAGUGGGUUAAGAACCCGACCAGUAUCCAUGAGGACGUGGGUUCGAUCCCUAGCCUUGCUCAGUGGUUAAAGGAUUCAGUGUUGCUGUGAGCUGUGGUGUAGGUCGCAGACACGGCUCAGCUCUGGCAUUGCUGUGGCUGUGGUGUAGACUGGCGGCUGCAGCUCUGAUUCAACUCCUAGCCCAGGUACUUCCAUUUGCCACAGCUGUGGCCCUGAAAAAAAAGGCUAAGAAUGAAUAGGUGGAGCACAGAGGAUUUUUAGGGCAGUGAAACACUCUGCAUGAUACUAUAUUGAUAGAUACAUGUCAUUGUACAUUUGUUCAAACUUACAGAAUGUAGGCCACCAAGAGUGAACCUUACUAUUUAAACUAUAGACUCUGGGUGGUAACAAAGUAAUACAUGUACACUCUCAUGUGGGAGACAUUCAUGAGAGGGGAUGCCUGAAAGUGUGGGGGAAGGAGGUAUAUAUGGGAAACCUCUACACCCUCUCUUCAAUUUUGCUGUGACUACUAUUCCAGUCAUAAAAAGAGUACAGAUUUGCCAUUCGCAACAACCUUGAUGGACCUGGAGGGUAUUAUGCUUAGUGAAGUUAAGUCAAACAGAGAAGGACAAAUACUGUUUCCUCUAAUAUGUGAAAUCUAAAAAAUAAACCAAACAAAUGAAUAUAACAAAACAGAAAUACUCAGAUAUAGGAGUUCCCACUGUGACACAGUGGAAACUAAUCUGACUGGUAACCAUGAGGAUGCAGGUUUGACUCCUGGCCUAGCUAAGUGGGUCAGGGACCUGGUGUUGCCAUGAGCUGUGGUGUAGGUUGCAGAUGAGGGUUGGAGCCCAUGUUUCUGCCGGCAGCUGUAGCUCCAAUUCGAACCCUAGCCUGGGAACUUCCAUAAUGCUGCAGGUGUGCCCCUCCCUCCCCACCCUCCAAAAAGACAGACAUACUCAGAUAUAGAGAACAAACUAGUGUUUAUCUGAGGGAAGAUGAGUUGGGGGAGGAACACGACAGAGAAAGGUGAUCAAGAGGUACUAGGUAUAAAACAAAUAAAAUGCAAAGAUAUAAUGUGCAGCACAGGGAAUAUAACCAAAAUUUUAUAAUUUAUAAAAAUAUCGAAUCACUAUGGUAUACACCGGAAAGUAAUAAAACAUUAUAAAUCAUGUGUCUUAAAGGGAAAAAAUGACUAAGAAGCUGAUUCAAGAACAAAGAUAGGUACCAAGAACAAUUAUUCCAAUUGUUAUUUUUAGUGGCCGUAUCAUCAACAUUUAGACAUUUAAAGUUUUUUGCAUAAACAUACAUGGAUAUACUACUUUCAGUUUAUUAGAAAUAAAACCUUUGAAAAAAAUUUUUAGCAGGAGUUUUUGUCAUUCUAUCAAUAGAACAAAAUCAUUCUCAGUCAAUAAAUGUUUCAAAAGUAUGUAACAAAUUAGCAUUCCUUUCUCCUCUCUAAAGUGUGCUGUCACCCUACUUUUGAGGGCAGUUAAAAGAACACUAUGCGCAGAGUUCCUGCUGUGAUGCAGCAUGUAAAGAAUUUGAAUGCAGUGGCUUGGGUUGUUGCGGAGGCACUGGUUGGAUCCCUGACCUGGAGCAGUGGGUUAAAGGAUCCAGCAUUGCUACAGCUGAGGCUCAGGUCCAGCUGCCGCUUGGAUUUAAUCCCUGACCUGGGAACUUCCAUAUGCCAUGAGUGUGGUCAUUUAAAAAAAAGAGUGCUAUGUGUUCUGAGAGGAGUUCUAAAAAGGGGGUCACAGCAAUGUUUUCAGCAAAGGCAAUGGAAUAAUCAUGGCAUUUCUGAUGUCAUGUCCUUUUUUUUUUUUUUUUUUUUUUUUUUUUUGGUCUUUUUGCCAUUUCUUGAGCCGCUCCCGCGGCAAGGAGGUUCCCAGGCUAGGGGUCUCAUUGGAGCUGUAGCUGCCAGCCACAGCCACAGCCACAAGGGAUCCGAGCCACGUCUGUGACCUACAUCACAGCUCACGGGAAUGCCGGAUCCUUAACCCACUGAGCAAGGGCAGGGACCGAACCCGCAACCUCAUGGUUCCUAGUCGGAUUCGUUAACCACUGCGCCACGACGGGAACUCCUGUCACGUUCUUCUUGAUGAAGGACAACACUCAUGGAGAAUAUCCAGCAUCAAAAAGGAAAAAGUCAGUUCCACGGACUCAGGUUCCUUGUCUGUAAAAGGAAUGAGUGUGUCUUAAAGCAGAUCCCGCAAACCAGAGUGUAGGAAUCCCUUGGAAUGUUUUAAACAAAGACUGAACCCAAAUCUCUGAGAUACCCAGCAGGCUGCAUUUUCAAAGGCUCCCAGAGAUGCUGAUGGGUUGUCAGGCUUGAGUCUGCUGAACCAAC
rnacentral:lncRNA from 1 species